CUUAACAUUACAACCAGUAAUUCUCCCACUGUCACCUCGGCAGAGGCAUCCGAUCAUUGAAUAUCUUUAGUUGCAGUCCAGGGAAGAGGAUGGAGGCAGAAAGCUGUCUGAAUCAGUGCUACUCAGUGUGGGCUGAAGUCCAGGGCUGGUCCAUGAUCUGUUUGUUGCCAGCUUGUGGCAAGAUCUGAGAUGAAGAUUGUAAGAGAUACUGUGCUGUGGGCCCAGCACAAUACCAGGCUCGUGGUAAGGAUUGUAAGUUGCCUUAAAGGUCAUCUGGUUGAACCCACAACCUACUGCUCCAGUGAGAAUCUCAGUCUCCACCAAGGAACCAACCACAGCUACCCCAGCACAGCCAGCAUAUCCUGACUGGGACCCCCAGCUCAGGUAAGGCAAAUAGUACUGGCCAGGUCAUCUCUACCCUCGUCUCCAUUAUACCUGAAGAACUUAGCAUCCUAACUCAAGAGAAAACAUGACAUCCUUCUCUCUCAUGAUAACAAAUCCUGAUUUUGUUCAGGUAUCGGGCAUCCAUGUGCUUCAGGGGAAGUGCGCCCCUUCCAUGGUAAUUCGCCUGUCCAGUGACUGAUUUAGGAAUGGGUUUGUGAUAUAACCUGGAUAACAAAACAUGGAGAGAGGUCUGAGUCUCUCCAGGACCGAAGGAGUAUCAGGAAAUAUUUUCUUACUCUUAAAAGCAAGGAAACUAGGCUUUUUUUCUGCCUCUAAAUGUCCACAUUUGAAGCCUGGAAUUGCCAAAGUCUUCUGGGAACCAUGAGGGGACUCAGCCAAAGAGGAUAAAUCAACAUGUGGAAAGCAACAAACGAAAUAACAGAAAGAAGUAGGACAUUGAUGUUUUUGUUAAACCCAUGAAUUAACCAAUCCAAGAUCAGAACUACCUCAGCAUUUUCAAUAUGUAAGAUAAUAAUUUUUCCUUUAAGUCAUUGGUAAUUGGGUUUUCAGUUGCUUGCAGCCAAAAGAUGUACAAAAUAGACACAUGAAGUCUGAGGCUAUAAACUGUUGGGCACCUUUGAUCCAAGGCUUCCCUUACUCCCUUCCUUCUUCUGAGCAGCUAAGUCAUCUCCGACUCACACAGUGUACCCCGAAUAUUUAAAGGAGUUCAGGAUAGACGAGGAGUUCAUUCCCUUUCACCACAGGACAUGACUCCUGCAUUUUAGCAAAUUCUCAGGCCAGCCCCAUCCCAUCUUCCUCAUUGGUUUCAGCUAGGGAAACCAGAGCGCUGCAAAGCCCACUGCAGACUCCGAGGCUGUAAAUGAAAGGUGUGAGGCACGCCGGCUGUGUACUGGCCACGUCUGCUUCUCUUGCAGGCUCCACCAUCAGCCUCUUCCUCCUGAAGUGGACCCUCCUCUCCAGCUCUUGCCCAUCCACUGUGACCGUUUUCAAGCCCCUUCUCUUCUGUGACGCCUUCCAGCAUAACGCCAGACCACACUCUGUACUGAACUUUUAGACACUCGAUACUCUGCAAGUUUCUGCCUUCAGAUUGUGAACUUGACACUGUGCCUCCAACCUGGCUGUGCACCUUUGAGCACAGGGAUGAGUGCAGACCUCUGCAUGUUUCCAGUGAUGACCAACACACAGAGGCAUUACAUAAAUGCUUGAGUUUAAGUAGAAAGUAAACUUUCCCCACAGCCAUACAAUCACGAUAAAAUUUUGAGUUAGAGCCUCAAAAGCUCUCUUGUCCAGCUGCUGCCCUCAAUGAUCCUACAGAUGGAGUUCGAUCCUACAGACUUCAAUCUUUGCAGUGAAGCAGAACUCAUUACUUUGGGUGCCAUCUGUUUCAUUUCUGGACAACUCUCAGGGUUGGAAGUUUAUUUCAAUUUUAUUAUCAGGCCCCAAUUUGCUUCCCUAUAACCUGUCUUCAGCUCUUUUAUUUAUCUUUCUGGGAUAAAAAAAGAAUAAAUGUAUUCUAUUUUCACACACUAGCCCUACAAAUAUUGAAAGCAGCUAUUAUAUCUGUUCUAAAUCUUCAUUUGUCCAAACUAAAUAUCUUCAAUUACUUAAAUUAUUCUGUAAGAGGGGAGGGUUCCAGAAAUUUGUUUCAUAUUUCUUGUGCACAUUCCAAUUAGCCAUUUCUCUGUUAAGAUCUCAUUUAUUGAUUCAACAAAUAUUGAUUGAGUUCUUACUUUAUACAAGACUUACAUCGGAGAAUCUGACUUGGAGCUUGCAGUCCAGGAGGGAAGAUAAUUAAACAGUGACAGUGAGGAACAAAGUGUGCUGGCUCGUGCAUUGCACCAUUUCAGGGGCACCAUUCACACAUAAUACAAUGCAAAUUUCACCCCUUGGAGUUGUGCAACUUGGUGACCAGGCACUGAUGGGAGCAAGCAAAUUGUGGAUCAGGAAAGGCCUCCCUAGAAGAAAGGACAUUUAAGCUGAGACCUGAACUAUGACUGUCAGUUAAUUAUGUAAAGCAAGGGAGGAACAGUGUGCUGGGCUGAAAGAACAGCAUGUGAAAAAUGUGGGGGAGAAAGCAAGGGGCAGGGGAAGUGACAGAAAGAAGAGGGAAUAAAGAGAAAUGAGGCUCGAGAAGUAAGUUGGGGUCAGAGCUUGCAGUGUCUAGCAGGCCAUGUUAGGGAGGUUGACUCAUAUCCUAAAGAGGGUGGGAGUCUACUGGAGAGAUUGAAGCAGGAAAAUAAUAUGAUUGUAUUUGCAUUCAGGCUGCUGUAUGGAAAGUGGAUUUGAAGAGAAUAAAACCAGAAUCUGGGAGACCAUUUCAAAACCUGUUACAGUAAUCCAAGCCAAAAAAAAAAAAAAAAAAAAAAAAUCAGAGGGUGGCCAGAAA
rnacentral:lncRNA from 1 species